rnacentral:rRNA from 17 species
CUGGCUCAGGACGAACGCUGGCGGCGUGCCUAAUACAUGCAAGUCGAACGAAUCUUCUUCGGAAGAUGAGUGGCGAACGGGUGAGUAAUACAUAGGUAACCUGCCCCUGUGCGGGGGAUAACAGGAGGAAACUCCUGCUAAUACCGCAUAGCCAUGAGCACCGCAUGGAGCUCAUGCCAAAUAUCCUUUCGGGGAUAGCGCAGGGAUGGACCUAUGGCGCAUUAGCUGGUUGGCGGGGCAACGGCCCACCAAGGCAACGAUGCGUAGCCGGCCUGAGAGGGCGGACGGCCACAUUGGGACUGAGACAC